rnacentral:lncRNA from 1 species
AGAAUGUCAGAUAAGGGAAAACACAUGGAACCCACACAAUUGACCUUAUUCUGCUUCAGAUCAGUGGUUACAAUCACAUAUAAUUGCUUUAAGUAGAAGAGUUCCUCAGAGGAUGCCAAUCAAUUGCUGCGAGGAGGGUGAAACACAGGGUUUUGAGAUUUCU